rnacentral:rRNA from 1 species
UACAGAGGGGGCAAGCGUUGUUCGGAAUUACUGGGCGUAAAGGGCGCGUAGGCGGCCUGCUAAGUCGAACGUGAAAUCCCUGGGCUCAACCCAGGAACUGCGUCCGAUACUGGUUGGCUUGAAUCCGGGAGAGGGAUGUGGAAUUCCAGGUGUAGCGGUGAAAUGCGUAGAUAUCUGGAGGAACACCGGUGGCGAAGGCGGCGACCUGGACGAAUACUGACACUCAACUGCGAAAGCGUGGGGAGCAAACAGG